UACGUAGGGGGCGAGCGUUGUCCGGAAUUACUGGGCGUAAAGCGCCCGCAGGCGGUCGCGUCAGUUCGCGGUGACAGCUGCCGGCUUAACCGGCAGAGGACCGAGAAGACGGCGUGACUUGAGGGCCAGAGAGGGACAUGGAACUCCGGGUGGAGUGGUGAAAUGCGUAGAGAUCCGGAAGAACACCAAAGGCGAAGGCAGUGUCCUGGCUGGUACCUGACGCUCGGGGGCGAAAGCGAGGGGAGCGAACGGG
rnacentral:rRNA from 1 species